UGGUUCUCCCCGAAAUAGCUUUAGGGCUAGCCUCAGGGUAAAGAUUGCAGGCGGUAGAGCACUGAUCAGGAGAGGGACCUACCCGGUUACCAAACCCAGUCAAACUACGAAUGGCUGCAAUUAUACCUGGGAGUCAGACUACGACUUAUAAGGGCCGUGGUCAAAAGGGAAACAGCCCAGAUCAUCAGCUAAGGUCCCAAAUGCCGUGCUAAGUGGCGAAGGAUGUGGCGUUUCAUAAACAACCAGGAUGUUGGCUCAGAAGCAGCCACCAUUUAAAGAGUGCGUAAUAGCUCACUGGUCGAGAGACGCUGCGCCGAAAAUGUCCGGGGCUCAAGCACGGAACCGAAGCUAUGGCAUUGCGUAAGCAAUGGGUAGGGGAGCGUUCUUAUGGGGAAGAAGCAUUACCGUAAGGAGAUGUGGACACAUAAGAAGUGAGAAUGCCGGUAUGAGUAUCGAAAAGAAAGGUGAGAAUCCUUUCCACCGAAAGCCCGAGGGUUCCUGAGCAACGAUCGUCGUCUCAGGGUAAGUCGGGACCUAAGCCGAGGCACAGACGCAUAGGCGAUGGACAACAGGUUGAAAUUCCUGUACCGGAUGGAGUCAUUUGAGCAAUGGAGUGACGCAGGAGGGCACAUGAUCGCGCGACUGGAAGAGCGCGUCCAAGUGCGUAUGUUGAAUCGGAGGCAAAUCCCCGAUUCUGAAAGCAGAGACAUGAUGGGGAGUUAUAAGCGAUUAUGACGAACUCAUGGAUCCCACACUGCCAAGAAAAACUUCUAGCGAGACGAAAUCCGCCCGUACCGUAAACCGACACAGGUAGGCGGGGAGAGAAUCCUAAGGUGCGCGGGAAAACCCUCGUUAAGGAACUCGGCAAAUUGCAUCCGUAACUUCGGGAGAAGGAUGGCCCUGAGUAGGCGAAGUGCAGAAACGCACGGAACAGAAAAGGGUGGCAGAAAAGAGGCCCAAGCAACUGUUUACCAAAAACACAGGUGCCUGCGAAAGCGAAAGCUGAAGUAUAGGUGCUGACGCCUGCCCGGUGCUGGAAGGUUAAGGAGAGAGGUUAGCGCAAGCGAAGCUUUGAACUGAAGCCCCAGUGAACGGCGGCCGUAACUAUAACGGUCCUAAGGUAGCGAAAUUCCUUGUCGGGUAAGUUCCGACCCGCAUGAAAGGCGUAAUGAUUUGGGCGCUGUCUCAACGAGGGGCCCGGUGAAAUUGAAAUACCUGUGAAGAUGCAGGUUACCCGCGACUGGACAGAAAGACCCCAUGGAGCUUUACUGCAGCUUGAGAUUGAAUCCCGGUGGCAGACGCACAGGAUAGGUGGGAGGCUUUGAGAUAGUGACUUUGGUUGCUAUGGAGCCGACGUUGGGAUACCACCCUUCUGUUGCUGGGAUUCUAACGCGAAGAUUAACAACCUUGCGGACCAUCUCAGGUAGGCGGUUUGACUGGGGCGGUCGCCUCCGAAAGAGUAACG
rnacentral:rRNA from 1 species